rnacentral:misc_RNA from 1 species
GUUGCGGGCGGGCGUGCUGACCAAGGAUACCCACCGCAACACGAUACGCUUUGCUCCGCCCUUGAUCAUCGAUGAAUCACAAGUCGACUGGGCAGUGGAUCGUCUCACCGAAGUUCUGGAGGACGUCGCCAAAACGGAUGCUCUUCUCAGGUAAUGAUACGAUCGCACGAGGUCAGUCGAUGUCGCAUCUGACUGCCUGGGCGUGCGGAAGGUCGUGGCCGGCUGAUUGCGUAGUGUUCUGAUUUCCCGGUUUUUUAAUUCCCUGAGCGCAUCAUUCUCACAAU